CAUAUUUGUACCAAUGUAUAUUCAGGGCCAACACAACCAUAAGUACUGCACUGCAGGGAGCACUGAAUGACUGUGCGGUGUGCAGUUGAGGAUCUUUUGUAUUUUCUACCUGGUCUGUCUUCCUGACAGACCAGGUAGAAGAUACAGAAGAUCUUCUACCGUGGUCCACGAAGUCAUGCUACAAGGAUGGAGGUGAGCAGACACAGGAGGGGAGAGGAGGCAAGAGUGGUCUCUUCCUCUGUAAGUGGGAGAGUGUAAGAAUCUACAAAGGGACAGGGGGAGUGGAAGAGACAAACAAAGGAAGAUGGGGAGGGGAAGAGACACACAGAGGAUCUGGAAGGAGAAAGAGGCACACAAAAUGGGAAGGAAAGGGGGAGAAAUACACACAGAUAGUCUGGAGAAGGGAAGGAAGAGACAAAGGGGAAGGGGGUGAAAAAGAAACAUACAAAGUAGCUAGGAGGACUUAAAGACACACAAAUGUGCUGGGGUUAGUAAGAGACACACAAGGAGAUGCUUUUU